rnacentral:rRNA from 1 species
GAUGAACGCUGGCGGCGUGCCUAAUACAUGCAAGUAGAACGCUGAAGGAGGAGCUUGCUCUUCUGGAUGAGUUGCGAACGGGUGAGUAACGCGUAGGUAACCUGCCUGGUAGCGGGGGAUAACUAUUGGAAACGAUAGCUAAUACCGCAUGACAACAGUUAUUGCAUGAUAACUGUUUAAAAGGGGCAACUGCUCCACUACCAGAUGGACCUGCGUUGUAUUAGCUAGUUGGUGAGGUAACGGCUCACCAAGGCGACGAUACAUAGCCGACCUGAGAGGGUGAUCGGCCACACUGGGACGGAGACACGGCCCAGACGCCUACGGGAGGCAGCAGUAGGGAAUCUGCGGCAAUGGACGGAAGUCUGACCGAGCAACGCCGCGGGAGUGAAGAAGGUUGUCGGAUCGUAAAGCUCGGUUGUAAGAGAAGAACGAGUGUGAGAGUGGAAAGUUCACACUGUGACGGUAGCUGACCAGAAAGGGACGGCUAACUACGUG